rnacentral:rRNA from 1 species
GACGAACGCUGGCGGCGUGCUUAACGCAUGCAAGUCGAACGGAAAGGCCCUGCUUUUGUGGGGUGCUCGAGUGGCGAACGGGUGAGUAACACGUGAGUAACCUGCCCUUGACUUUGGGAUAACUUCAGGAAACUGGGGCUAAUACCGGAUAGGAGCUCCUGCUGCAUGGUGGGGGUUGGAAAGUUUCGGCGGUUGGGGAUGGACUCGCGGCUUAUCAGCUUGUUGGUGGGGUAGUGGCUUACCAAGGCUUUGACGGGUAGCCGGCCUGAGAGGGUGACCGGCCACAUUGGGACUGAGAGACGGCCCAGACUCCUACGGGAGGCAGCAGUGGGGAAUAUUGCACAAUGGGCGGAAGCCUGAUGCAGCAACGCCGCGUGCGGGAUGACGGCCUUCGGGUGGUAAACCGCUUUCGCCUGUGACGAAGCGUGAGUGACGGUAAUGGGUAAAGAAGCACCGGCUAACUACGU